UUGCAUUAAUUAAGUCCCUGCCUUUUGUUCACACUAAUUGUCACUACUACCAAUUUGGUGGUUUAGUGAAGCCCUCAGAUUGGCCCUGCAGUUGUCUGCCCAUGGCCCUGGUUGAGUGCUGAUAAGAAGUCGAACUUGGCUAUCUAGUGGAAGUAAAGUCCAAAAAGGUUUAUGCAGGUGAAUCUGCAGAAGGAUCAUUA
rnacentral:ncRNA from 1 species